UGAAAACCACCAAACUCAAAUAUAAUUUAUCAAAUCAUACGGUAAAAUGGAACAUCGGUUAAACACUUCAACGAAAAGGAAAACGGAAAUGAAAACGAAACUGAAAAUGAACAGUAACUGCCACGUCACAAUCCGGCCGAGACCUGGCCGGAUUGGAGGCAGUGGCUCAACCCAAAAAUUUUCAACUUGCCCUGCCAAUCCGGCCAACUAUCCGGCCAAUAACUGGCCGGAUAUGGGGCCGGAUUCUCCGCAGGGGUUUCCCACCAACAAAUUUUUUCUUCUUUCCUUUUCAAAUGCCGUGCUCACUCGAUCGUCCAACAGUUACAAGAAACGUUCACCAAAGCCAUAGAAGUGUAACAUCUCAAAUGAAUACACUUAAAAAAACAAGGUUAAACAUUUAAACAUGUAUUUACAUCGGAGUCUUGAACAAAUGAACUAAAGUACAAACCAAAGUAUACAUACUACACAAAAUACAAUUAGGGUUUCGAUUUCAAAAGAGCUUAACGACAUAGCAUAUACACUAGCUCGAGCUAUUUCUUCCAAAACCAUGAUUUCCAAGUUUGUCCCCUGUAAGGAAAAACAAAGGUAACGGGAAGGGGGUGAGCUUACGCUCAAUGAGGUACCAAAAUAAUAGCAAUCAAGAAUCACGGAACUUCAUGUUCAAUUACUCACAUAUGCAUAUCAAAUAGGGAAAUAAACAAACACUUUAGAUAGAAAGGAUACAGGUGGCUCUCGGGAGCCCAAAAUUCCGUCCACAAACAUAGCCCUUACCGGGCCCGAACACCUCAACAGAAACAGAAGUGGUAAUACUCGAGUAUACCGGAAUCAAGAGUCUCAAUACCCAAAGAUUCCCAGAAACAGACUACCGUGGUUCGUUAUCUAAUCGACCUAACCCUUGCCGGCUCGACUUGAGUAACUAGACACAGGCUUUGAGCUCAGAGGUUACAAAAGAUCGUUGGAUACAAGUCUCCAACCGACGUUAGAUUAAGAACAGAUAAUAGAGUCAAAUAUACACAGUAAAUAGGCAAACAGAUAAGAGAACGAGUGUGAUAAAGUACACCCUCGUCUCAAACAGAAUAAGUAGAUAGUACAGUCAUUCAAAUUACCAAUUGCAUGUAUAGAAACCAAGUUAAGCAACAAUGAAGGGAGUGGUACACUCACCAGUUCUAACAAACCACUUCAAACGUUUUCACCCCAAAGUAGGGUUUUGAUCACCGUGAAACCCUAAGAAUAACUAAAGUAAAACAAUUGAAGUUCUCACAUCCAAAACGGAGUAAACGGAAUGCACAAGUGAGGCUUGACUACUAGUCGUAUGCCUAUUCAAAUGACUACAAAUACAAAGAGAUAAAGGUGUGGUUUCGGAGUAAAACGGUAGCGGUUGGUUCUUCAACAUGAACAAACCCCAAAACUCUACAUUUCUAUCAAAAACCAUACCUAUAAUGAUUUACUAACUCCAAACUUAAGGUGGAACAUAAGAGUAAGGACAAUUUUAGCAAAACAGGAUUUUCCAGUUUUGCGCACCAUCAUUUGAAAAAUCAUAUCUCAAGAUUCUUACGUCCAAAAUUGAUAAAUUUUAUACCGUCGGAAAAUAGACUCAAAGGGGUCCAAUUUCUCAGAAGACACAUUUAUAAGAUUCAGAUCACAAAUCAGUCAAAUUUGAGCCUCAAAUUGCUGUUUUAUCCACUAAAAGACAGAACAGGUAUGCAAUUUCAGUUAAAUUUGAAAAAUCCCCAUAAAUCACACAGACAGAACCAAAGUCUGAAAUUUUCACGACUAUCUAUGAAUCUAGUUUAAAACACAACAAACAGAACUCAAUUCCGAUAUUUCUAUAACAGGAUAUAGCAAAUUUUCCAAAACUGCUCAAGGGUUCCUACGAAAAUUUCAGCAGCACUUCCCUUGUUUUUCUUUACUUUUCCAACCUAACAUCAACACCCAAUCUCAUCUCAUUUCAGCCACAAUUUCCCAUAUAAAUCACAAGCUAUUGAACACACCUAAUUAGGGUCACAAUACCCUUCAAAUACAACCAAAUGGGAACUCAAAUUAAAAACCCUAAAGCUGGAAUUUUUGCACCCAAGCUGGAAAUUUCUUUAGACAAGUCCAUCUAGCACAUAAUACCUCAAUAAUUCAUAUAGCAAAGCUCUCAAAACAUGAACAACCCUCAAGCAUCACAGGUGACCAGAAUUUUCAACAUAAAACUGAAAUUUACCAUAAAACUACUUCUAACCAUGAAAUAUUCUCAUAAAGCUACAUAUUUUGCAACCUUGAACCACAAAUAAGCUAGUAUUAGGAGUAAAAAGAGAUUACUUGGCAAGAUACCUUAGAACCACAAGAAAGAUAGUAGCUUAGUGCCUUUCCCUCCAAAAUCACUCCACCAAUACCUUUAAUAUCUCUUAGAGGGCAACUUCUAUGGAGUAGUUUGAAAAUUUAAUGGUGGAAACUCAAGAUUGAGCAAGAAAAUGAAGUUGAGGUUGAAAGCUUUCUCUUGUUUUUUCCUCUAAGAGGUUCGGCCAAAGCAUGAAGAAAAAUGAGAUGAAUUUGGUCAAUUUUUGUGAUUUAGUAAAGUUAAGAAACCUUGGUCAAAAGUC
rnacentral:lncRNA from 1 species